rnacentral:lncRNA from 1 species
GCCAUAGUAGCUCUGGGAACUGAAUCUCGGGGACCAGGAACAGUCUCGCAUGUCAUUGUAAUCUGGAUUCAUGAACUCUGACUUUCCACAGUCUUUGAGUCACUGAGCACCAGGAUCAACUUUCACAGAGGAUCCAGAUAAUCAGCCAGCUUGAGUCACACUCCUGCAGCUUGGCUAGGGUAGGGAUUCCUGACCAACAGUCCCAUAAGAUCUUAUCCAGUCAGGAGGUACUGGACCAAUCUGAAGUGCAGCCAAGACCGGGAGCCACAGACCUGGAACCUGGGUACUCAAAGAGUUGUCCACGUGCCAGCAGCACUGGCCCCUCCAGGAGCUUGUUAGAAAUGUAGAACCUCAGAGCCUACAUUAAAGAUAUUGAAUCGGAGUCUGCACGUCACAUCUGAGAAGCCAUGAGCUAAGCUGAUGCCAUUCAGCUGGGUAGCAUCGCAGUCACUGUGCAACUUUUAAACCUACAGCUGCCCAGGCCCACUGCAGACCUGCUAAAUUCGAGCUCCUUGUAGUGGGGCCAGGGCCCUGGGACUUCACACAAAACUCUGCAAGUCAUCACUGAUGAGAAAACCAAGACUCGAUGAGAGUCUCCUGAGCUCGGGGGAAGAAGCUGCAUAACCGGCACACUUCCAGAAAGGACCGAGGAAGAGAGCGUCGCUUCAGCUAGGGAUCUGAUUAGUCAUGCCUGGUAGGCUCUGCUGAGCUGGGGGCUCUUGGGUUUUGCUUGUUGAGCUGAAUUAAUAUAUUAAUGGAUUUCA